rnacentral:rRNA from 1 species
GAUGAACGCUGGCGGCGUGCUUAACACAUGCAAGUCGAACGGUGAACGAGGGAGCUUGCUCCCUCCGGAUCAGUGGCGAACGGGUGAGUAACACGUGAGCAAUCUGCCCUGGACUCUGGGAUAAGCGUUGGAAACGACGUCUAAUACCGGAUACGAGACGCGAAGGCAUCUUCAGCGUCUGGAAAGAACUUCGGUCCAGGAUGAGCUCGCGGCCUAUCAGGUAGUUGGUGAGGUAACGGCUCACCAAGCCUACAACGGGUAGCCGGCCUGAGAGGGUGACCGGCCACACUGGGACUGAGACACGGCCCAGACUCCUACGGGAGGCAGCAGUGGGGAAUAGUGCACAAUGGGCGGAAGCCUGAUGCAGCAACGCCGCGUGAGGGACGACGGCCUUCGGGUUGUAAACCUCUUUUAGCAGGGAAGAAGCGGAAGUGACGGUACCUGCAGAAAAAGCACCGGCUAACUACGUGCCAGCCGCCGCAGUAACAC